rnacentral:rRNA from 1 species
AGCAGCCGCGGUAAUUCCAGCUCCAAUAACGUAUAUUAAAGUUGCUGCAGUUAAAAAGCUCGUAGUUGAAUUUCGGGACCAAUAUGUCGGUCGUGCCUCGGUACGUACUGGCAUCGUUGGUUUCUCCUUUCUGAAGAACCAUGAUGUCAUUUAUUUGGUGUCGUGGGGAAUCAGGACUGUUACUUUGAAAAAAUUAGAGUGUUUAAAGCAGGCUCACGCUUGAAUACAUUAGCAUGGAAUAAUGAAAUAGGACGUUUGAUUCUAUUUUGUUGGUUUCUAGGAUCGACGUAAUGAUUAAUAGGGAUAGUUGGGGGCAUUAGUAUUCAAUUGUCAGAGGUGAAAUUCUUGGAUUUAUUGAAGACUAACUACUGCGAAAGCAUUUGCCAAGGAUGUUUUCAUUAAUCAAGAACGAAAGUUAGGGGAUCGAAGACGAUCAGAUACCGUCGUAGUCUUAACCAUAAACUAUGCCGACUAGGGAUCGGAUGAUGUUAAUUUUUUAAUGACUCAUUCGGCGCCUUAA